rnacentral:misc_RNA from 1 species
CGAAGCCUCGAAACACACAGAGAGAAAGGGAAAAAGUACCAACAAACAGGCAGCACACCUACACAAACAACGAAAGCCCUAAAGACACGCAUACUCACACACACACGCGCACAUACAUAUAUAUCUACACGAACACACGGAAGACAUAUCGUCUGCGCUGCCGGCAGUGUGUUGCCUCAGUGAGCCUAAUACUAAAGAGAAGCACUACAAGGUGGCACUGUCAUUCCACUCUGCUGUUUUGUUCACUUGUCGUUUUCGUUUGUAUUUAUUAUUUUCAUACGACACUCCACGUCACCAUCAGCACAGCUUCUUAUCUUGCCAGGCCCCUCCUUCCUUUAUCUUUCCCUCUCGUGCCUUCUUCACAUCAUUAUCAAAAAAAAACACGCACGUCUUUGGACGUUUGCGCGCGCUGUGUGCGUGCGUGAGUUGUCUUGCUCUCUCCUUUUCUCUUGUAUCUCUUCGGUGCUUCGUCGGCGUCCUUGUUCCUCUGCUUCUUCCUUUGGGUUUUAGCCCCCUUUUCUCUCUCUCUCUCUCCUACCUCCCUCUCCUGGUGUGUCGGUGUGCUCCUGCCUCCGUGCGCUCUCGCUUUCUUGGGCCUCGUUUUUUUUCUCCCUCGCUCCCUCUCUCUCUGCGUGCGUGUGUGUGUGUGUGUGUGCGUGGACUGUGCAGUUCACACACAGGCAUACACGCCCACACACGUCCAUACGCACGGGCUGAUGGUUGUGGGGUGGGACAAACAAAAGACGAAAACAAACCUCUAGCAAAGCCGCCGCAUCAGCAAGAAGAGAAAGCAGAGGCGCAAGAGAGCAUCACCGUGCGAGCACGAAGUGGACGUGCUCUUUCUUUUUGAUUUCUUCUUGUCUUUUAUACCCCACCCCUCCCCUCUUUCGCACCUUGUGCCGACGCUCUGUUGCUUCUCCCUUCAUUUGUUUGUUGUGUCAGUCUUCCGCCGUCUCACGUGUCCUGCUUCGGCUGUGUUUUUGCCUUUCUAGCGCUUGAAGCUUCUUCCCUGCACCCAAUCCCCCGGCCUCGUGCUUCACCUGCAGCACUAUUUACCUCUUUCUUUCUCUCCUCUCGGCCCCUCCUGUUGUGGAUUGCGUGUCCCUUCACUCCAUGCACCGUCUCUGUGGUUGUGAAAGCUACCUCUUCUAGCAAACUUCAAGACGCAGCCAUUUCAGCCCACUCACCUCUUCUGUCCUGGGCUCAUUUUUUUUUUGCUUGCCCUCCCCCCCCCCACCCAACGCUCUCUGCCCGUGUUUUUUCCUCGCGCGCGCUCUCUCGCUCUCCUUCUCUCGUCAACUCCUUCUUUGCUGCUACUGCCGCUUGUGCCGGUACACUGGUGCUGGAGAGGUGGUCUCAACUGCCUCCUCUGUUUUGAGGCAACGCACGCAAGCUAUUGGUGUGGGUGCGCACCAAGCGGAGAAGGUAAUCACGUUUGGUAUUGCAAUCAUCGUCACGGCAGACCGCUUUAGGUGCGCACGCACACGCACACGCACACACACAUUCUGCGUGCAUGACUUCAAAGAGGAAGCACUCGCUGCCUGACAUUGCCAUCCUUCUUGUUUGCUGUCUUUCUCUCUCCUUGCUUGUUUUUCUUCCGUUGAGGUCAGCUGGUCGCUUCGUCUCGGGGAAGGCCGCUGAGGCGACCGACGAGGGGGUCUAGCCAACUCUUGUCGAGGGACGGACACACGCCAUAGGGGCUCUUUGCCACAGGAAAGGAGGGUCGAUCACCCAUCGUCCGCAAUUCGGGCUUUGCGCAUUGAUCGCGGGUUUGGCCACGGCCUUUGUUUCUUUUUAUUAUCAUUUAUGAUUUUCGAUUCGACUUUAUAUCGGCGAUUUUGCUUACAUUUUUCAUUUUUUUUAUUUGGCUGGCUCGCUCGUUAGCUCGUUGGUUCGCUGGGAUUGUCACGAAUCGCCUUUAUCGUCAUCUGCAAAGAGUGAUCGCGCGCGGGAGGGAAUAGGGGGUAGAGGUAAGAAAACGGAAGUGUUUCGUUCGAAGACGCACAAACGCCCCCCCCUCGUCCUCCCCACUCGCAUAUACGAGCUGUGCGUGGUUGAGGAGUGCGUUCGCGUGUGUUCUGGCUUGCACCGACCGCUGCGGCACAGCGUGUCGAAAAGCAUUCGGCGCGGCACCCUUCCCUCGCCAUCCCCGUUCCCCCCCCCUCCACGCCCGCCAAUGAGUCAAUGGCAGUCGAUUGUGCUUUUGACGCUGCGCCAUCGCCUAAGGCAGCUGCUAUGGCAGAAUUAUGUGACUGAGUCCGAGUCUGAGAUGAGCUGCUCGCCACGGAGCAGCAUCACCACGCCGGCGGUCAUAGAGGCCCCGCGUGUCGUACACGAAUGUGUCGAUGUGAAUGCCGCGCCCCUGGCGAAGGCGACCCGUUUAGCUGCAUCUUAUAAUUCCAAGUCGUCCCCGCCACCGUGCGCGGGAAAGGUAUCUGGUCCGCACCGGCCGCAAUCGCAUCCCGCAUCACUGACUUCAUCGUCAGCUUCGCCAUGCUUUGAUGGGCAUGAACUUACAUCCGCUUCGCACGGUCGCCACCUCGGCAGGCGCGCAUCGCCGCGACGGGCAGCGUUCAUAUUUCUGCUGCUGCAACUGCUGCAGAUGCUGUGGGCAGACUUUGGGCCUCCAUUGCACAACUUCUCAGGAUCCGAUGGCCAAGCGGCGAUGGGCCCGAUCUUGUUUGCCGAGGCCACAACAGUCCACUACCGCGGCUCCGUGUACCACGGCCUUACGGAGGAGAUGCUGCAGCGCGGCGGCAGCACCUUCUCCAUUCAGGUGUCCAUCCCAACGUUUCCGACGAACAUUACGCUCGUUCGCUCCAUCAUGAUGUCCAUCCUGACGAGCAACGUUCGCCUUGUCGACGACGCCGGGACUUUCGUGCGCCGCAUGCAGCCGGCGGCGCAAGGCGAGGCGGCGGCACAUGCGUUCAAUCACACGAAGGCGUGGCUGACGUGGCGGCGCUUUGUGAAAGAUAUUCUUUCCCAUAGCGAGAUCGAGGUUAGCCCGAAUGGGCAUGCCGUGAAGGUGAGGUUUGCGAGUGGGAAGUGGGUGCUGCCGGCUCAGACGUCAGCCCUCAUCGUCCCCUGUCUGCCCUUUUCCUUGUUCGAGCAGCUGGGCAGGCUCGGGGUGCAGGACUUGCCGAAUAACUGCCUCGCCGGAGACCCUUUUUUUGUGAGCAAGAAAUCAUUUUUGCAGCUGGACGAGGCACGAUGGAACCCGUCGCAGCAAGUGCUCGUCACCGGUGGGCCCAUCUCCAUCCCUCUCGCCGGCACCUCCAGCACCGUUUCUGACAAGGCCGAGCUGGAGCGACGGCUUCGCGUGAUGGAGGGGUACACGUGUCUGCACACGCGCAGCGCCUUUGUGCGUGGCAGCCGCUGGGACGUCCGCGGCAGCGUCUACCGCUUUACCCCACACCGUGGCGGUAUGCAGACCCUCUGCUACGUGCCCUAUCCAGACACGCUGCCAUUUCUGAGCGUGAAGUUGAUGGACUCGUACGAGGUGGCGGGCCCAGAAGGGGUCUCGACAGAUCCGCCACAGGUUCACGCGGACCUAGAGUUCUCCGGCACCAUCUACGGCACCAACCUGACGGAGCGCGACACGGUGGUCAUUACGGAUGAGCUGUGCGCCGACUUCACGUCGCAGAACGUCUUCUUCGUCGACCUCUUCUUCAGCAGCAGCUCUCGAGUGAGCUUCUUCGGCACAUUCCACAAGCGCGGUAUUUAUCACGUGUGCUACCACCGCGAAGGUUCCCCUAUGUACGUGCUGGUGUCGACGUUAUUGGUAGAGCGGGGUGCGGAUGUCGUAAUCGAUAACGACAGCCCGAAUGUGCUGAUAGACCAGGACGUCAAGCUGCUGCAGUCCGCCUCCGUCUCGCGGCUCAAUGUCCAAGACAAGGGAAACCUCAACCUGCGCCAGCGCAGCCUGAAUGUGUCGUACUUCCUCUGGUCUGGAGGCAGCAUCUCUGGCAGAGGCACCAUCAAUUGCACCGGGUACGCGAAGAUCACCACCCAAGGCUACGAGACGCGGCUGCUGUCGGUGCCGCUCUACAACUACGGCGAGAUGACGAUCGACGUGCAGCGGCUGUCCAUGGAACGAGACGGGGCGAUCCACAACUACGGAAACCUGACACUAGCCGUCUCGAGCAUGGGAGUGGACAGCAUCAGCAGCGUUCUCUCUGCUGGGCGGCGAAACGCGAUCACGAACUACCCAGGGGGCGUCAUUCGCAUCAUGGCGCUCGACGAGCGAUCCUACGCGCUGCUCACUGGCCGCUUCAUCUUCCAAGGUGGGUCAGUGCUGCUGUUGGGAAAGAUCAACCUCACCGAUGCCUCCAGCUUUGCAGAUUCGACCGUGACGCUGAAGAGUGGAACGCUUCUCACAACCCACAAGAUGCACCUUGGCGGCGCCGUGGUGGUGGAGGAGCGAUCUGUUCUGACUCUGAUGAAGGGGUGUGUCUUCGUUUCGGCGACCGUCUCGGGCGAUGGCGUGGUGCGGCUGCUGGGGGAUGACGUGGUGCUCAACUCGCUCACGGUGACAGGCUCCAUUCGCGCUCUUUUCGGCGUAGGUAUGACCGACCCGAUCUCCGUCAUCGCCUACGGCACUACGCACUUUGGCGAGGAUACCCUAGUGCACGUGACGAACGCCAACUUCGUGACCUCUAGCGGGCUCGCCAAGGUGACAUUUCUCGGCCGCCUCCUCGCCGACUUUGUCACGGUGCGUUUCACUGGCAACAUGAUUCUGCAAAUCGGCGGCGUGGCAGCGCUGUACGGCAACAUGUCCGGCGAAGCCCUCAACUUCCGUCGCACCCUCACCAAGUUGUCCGGCUACUCGCUGCCGCUCGCCAUGGCGUCUUUUGUGUCGCGAAAUGCGACCAUGUUUGUGAUCGACACCUUCCGCCUGGACGAGGCGGUCGAUGCCAGCGCGCGCGGCGGCUCGUCCACUGCGAAGGGCAUCGUCUCCUCGUUGGACCCCUUCAACAAAAGCAUCUUUAGCGGCCCGGCGGCCGUGGAGACGCAAGCGUGUGAAGUGUAUCUGCCGACGUCGCAGCGUCUAACGGUGAGCGGGCGGCUUGUGCUGCGUGGAUGUGUGCAGGUGCCGGCAGGCGGCACCAUCAGCGGCGCGGUGGUGAAGCUGGAGGACUCGGCGGACUGGGAGCUGCUGCACCAGACGUUUUGCAUCUUUGCCGAUCCGGAGACGCUGCCGCACCUCUGCCGGCACAACCGUCGCAGCGUACCGCCCCUGCGGAGCGGCUUGGCGCUCAGCGAAAAGGUAUACGUGCGCAGCCCGGCGUCUUUCUUGCUUGACGAGCUCACCCUCGUUCACAGCCACACGCGUGUCACGGAGUCUGUCCCCAUCACCAUCAAGGACACAAUCAUCGUGCGGGUCGGCUCCACUCUUGUGCUGGCCUAUGGCAUAGUGAUGGCAGCGCGCCACAUCAUCAUCGAGGGCACCCUUGUUGUGAACGACCCGCGAAACACAGUUUUGAAGGGCCUGGUGGAGGUGAAGGAGGAGGGCAUCAUCGAGCUACGCGGUGUCUCCGGGAUGUCGUGCGCGAACGAGCUUCUGGUGGAGGGGCGCCUCUACCUCGCGCCGAACGCGCGAGGGUUCCACUUCCGUUGCCUGAGCGCCAGCGAUGACGACAUCGGCGGCGAGGACAGCGAGGCGGCACCGGCCGACCCGGAGGGCGGCGAAACCAUGAAGCCGAUGGGCCGUCUCGACGCGCUGCUGCGCAAGCGGGCCCUGGCGAACCUCCGGCCUGACAUGACGUGCCCCGAUGACGUCGUCCACGAUUACGACUCACGCCGCCAGUUCAUCAACCUGUACUGGAUGCGCCAGGCGUACGACCCGCCAGCUGACCAGCCGACGCGGCGCGACAUGAUCUGGAUGACGCUUUUCGGCAUUGCCUGUUGCUUUGGCACAUUUCACAUCCUGCUGACUAUGUGGGGGUACACAUACAAAAAGUGGUGGAGCGAUAUUCGGACGCCGUGUCCACUGCAGCUCACCCUAACGUGGGAUGAGCUGAGCUACAGCGCCGUCAACUACUUCUCCUUCUGCAGAUUCAUCAUCAUCCACCUCCUGAACACCAUGGCCGCCUUUCACCCGGGGCUGCCAGCGCCGUUGCCGUCGGUGGCUGGCAUGCUUCUGCGCGGGAUGGGGCUGCUCAUGCCGCACCACCAGACACCGAUCAGUCGCCCCCGAAAGGUCGGCAUCUUCUACAUUGUGUGGCUCUUCACAUUCCUCUACGUGAAAAAGCGGGGCAGCUGGCUGAUAUCGUAUCUGCGCCGCAGGCACCCAUAUUUGCUAGAUGUUGUGCAGAAGCUCUACACGGUGCUGACCAUUCUCAACUUCAUUUUUCUAGCGCCGCUCAUGUCGUCUGUGGUGGACGCGAUUGCGUGGCCGACCCUGCUGCGCAACGUGCCCACGUACGAACUGAUGCAGCAAGACAUCUGGGUCGCCAUCUCCAUCAUUUCCUUCUUGUCGAUGGGUGUCAUGGCACCCUCGAGCAUUUUGACGAACCAGAUGUUUAUCCCUCACAUGGAUCUUCGGGUGCGAGCGUCGAACAUGUUUGUGCACUUCGCGGCGCAGAUGUGGGAAACGGUUAUGUGGAAGGUCUUCUACAACAACCCGAUGUGCGUGGUCUUCAACUGCAUCUUCUUUCAGUUCAUCCGGCUCGCCUUCUUGUUAUGCUUUCCGGCGACGCCGUACAAGAACGUGAACCGAUUCAUGAUGUUCUUGUUGAUGCAGCCCUUCCUCGUGUACCUUGCCAUCAUCCUGUACGUGGUGCUGGUGCGCACCGGGGUGUACACGAGCUGCACGCAAGGCACCGACUUGUUCCGCGUCGUCGCGGCGGCCUUCGUCAUCUCGCUCUUCGUCAACUUUUGGCGCAACGUGCUCUUUACGCAGGAGCAGACGACGGCCACAGGUGACGUCUCUAUCGACGCCCUGCGUUGCUCCAUGACCCAGAUUCGCAACCGCAUCCACGACCUGAAGUUUGAGGUGUACGCGUGCACCGACGCAAUGGAACGGGAGAACAUCCUCAACGCCAUUGCCCGGAUGCGGAUCGAGUACCUGGAGAAGCAGGAGCGCUACCGCUUCGAGACACACCGGAUUCUGCGGCCGUUCUUCUUCAGCGGGACCGGCUUCGACGGCGAUACACACUUGCAGUCGCACAGCAGCGUCGCCUCGUACAGCAACGACGAUGGCGACGACGCAUCCAACGUGCAUCCGGCUAUGUCACCGAACAUGCAGCAAGGUACCCUUCUCAGUGUGGAGGAGAUGGAGACCUUCAGCUGCGGUCCAGCGCUGGGCAAAGGCAGCUACGGCACCGUGCACCUCGGCAUUCUCACAAACGGCAAGAUGGUGGCCGUCAAGUACGUGAACGUCGUUAGCGAGAGCCCCGAGGCUCUGGCAAGCGUGGAGGCGGAGGUGAACAUGCUGCGUGAGUUGUCCCACCCGAACAUUAUCCGCUACUUUGGCGCACACACGAUCCAAGACACAAUGCUGGUGUUCAUGGAGUUCGCCGUCGGGGGCAGCUUGACCUCCAUUGUGAAGAAAUUCACGCACCUCACGGAGCCUGUCAUGCAACUCUACACAUUCCAGAUCUUGAAGGGGCUUCAGUACCUACACGACAAGGGUGUUGUGCACCGCGACAUCAAGGGCGAAAAUAUUCUCAUCGACGGCUAUGGCGUGGCGAAACUGGCGGACUUUGGAUGCAGCAAGUCACUGGCGAACAUAGCAAACUCCAGCCAGGUGGGCUGUGGCACGCUGGUGGGGUCCCCGUUUUGGAUGGCGCCGGAGGUCAUUCGGAGCGAGGCGUACGGCACCAAGGCGGACAUCUGGUCUGUUGGGUGCACCGUCGUAGAGAUGCUCAACGGUGGCGAGCCACCGUGGCGAGAGGAGUUCGACAACGUUUACUCCGCCAUGUUUUAUGUGGGCUCGACUAACGACAUCCCGCAGAUCCCAGCGGAGACGUCGGACCCGUGCCGCGAUUUCCUCUUCCGCUGCUUCGAGCGCGACGUCAUGAAGCGGGCCUCAGCGGACGAGCUGCUCCAGCACCCGUGGCUGAAGUCGGCUGCUGCGGCGUCCCACGCGGAGGACUCGAGCGAUAACUUCUUGUCCUUCUCGACUGUUUCGUCCCCGUCGCUCAAAUCAGCAUACGACGGGCACCGCACUGCGGGUUUCUCGCGCAGCACCCCGCACAGCUCUCGCGAGGACCUGACGUCACCGCUGAACGGCAGCACCGCUCCCCAGCCACCAAACGGCAGCAUCGCUAGCAUCACCUCUAAUGCCUCCAAGAAGUUCAAAUAAGCGGCUGCACGCAGAGACAUUACUUGUGCAGGUAUCGAGAGGCGAAAACGAAAAGGCACUCAUGAUGCCUUCUUGCGACUACUUCUUCGCAUUCUCGCUUCAGUUGGCGCACACCGGUCGCCGUCUGUGGACGGUCUGCUCACGUGUUGAUGUGUACAUACUCUGCGUGUGCGUGUGCUUCCACUCUCCCCUCCCUCCGCCCUCUUGCUGUAGCGGUGGGCCAACGUGCUUUUCACUCUUCUUUAUCUCUUGUGGUGUUCUUACCAUCGCCAUCCUCG